rnacentral:tRNA from 1 species
GUUUUUAUAGUUUAUUUAAAAUAGUGAUUUUGUAAAUCUCAGAAACUUUUGUUAAAAACA